ensembl:ncRNA lncRNA:CR45753 long non-coding RNA:CR45753
ACAUGCCAUUGCUUGGACUUUAAAGGAUUCUUGUGGCCAUUGAUUGGCGUACAUAUUUCGGUAUUUUCGUGGCACUGGCAACUGUCAAUAAGUCCUUACACUGUCGGCACACAUGACACCCGUUCCCGGUUUCACUGCCAUCACUUAACCUCCUCCAUCCUCUGGCCUCGGCGUUUUCAAAUUAAACUUAAACUUUUUUCAUUUCCAUUCAGCACACACAUAGAAAAACUCCCCAUGAGCCCCCUGGUCCUGUAGAUUUUGCUGCGCACAUGCGUUUCAAUUCCGAUUUUUUUCCAUUUUCAUUUUCAUUUUUUCUUGUUGUAUUUCGUAUUUUUUUGUAGCUGGUGGGUCUGAUUCCUGGUAUGCCGCGUGCUCAGCGUGUUGUUUGCUUAUUUGAAGUUUCCGCAGGGAGCUGAGUUUUCGGUUCAGUCGGGUUGAGUUGAGUAGAGUUGAGAGCUGAGCCGUGCGGGGUGGAGGAGUUCCAGGGGAGUUCCAGGGGGUAUUACGGAAAGUAAGGGGCGGAUAGAGCCAACGAGCGCGCAAUAUUAAAUCGUCUGUAUUGUUUACAAUCAGAAAGCGUUUUAUAGACUUUAUAUAGACGAACGAGUCAACAGAACGAGUCAAACGAGAAGCGGGGAAACAUAUCGAUUCAAGCUCCUAUUCUCCAGAAUUCUAUGGACGCGGCCACCAGGGAGUCACAGUUGAGCAAUUUCUGUUUCACCAUUCAGCUUUCGCCUUCGAGUCGGCUAAAGUCACGUUCUAAUCGCCGUACACACUCGUAUCGCUCCAAUCAUUAAUC